rnacentral:rRNA from 1 species
GUGUCAGCAGCCGCGGUAAUACGUAGGGGGGUUUGCUCGAGAGGAUUUACUGGGCGUAAAGCGCGCGUAGGCGGAACGUUAAGCGGGGCCGGAAAGCCCCCGGCUCAACCGGGGAAGGGGCCGCGAACUGGCGUUCUUGAGGGGGAGAGGGGAGAGCGGAAUUCCUGGUGUAGCGGUGAAAUGCGUAGAGAUCAGGAGGAACACCCAUGGCGAAGGCAGCUCUCUGGCUUCACCCUGACGCUGAGGCGCGAAAGCGUGGGGAGCGAACGGGAUUAGAUACCCCGGUAGUCCACGCCGUAAACGAUGGUCACUAGGCGUUCGCGGUAUCGACCCCGCGAGUGCCGCAGCUAACGCAGUAAGUGACCCGCCUGGGGAGUACGGCCGCAAGGUUGAA